rnacentral:rRNA from 2 species
GACGAACCGUCCUAACGUUGUUCGGAAUCACUGGGCUUAAAGGGCGCGUAGGCGGGCGAUCAAGUCAGGGGUGAAAUCUUUCGGCUUAACCGGAAAACGGCCCCUGAUACUGAUUGUCUUGAGGGAGGUAGGGGUAUGUGGAACUUCUGGUGGAGCGGUGAAAUGCGUUGAUAUCAGAAGGAACGCCGGUGGCGAAAGCGACGUACUGGACCUCUUCUGACGCUGAGGCGCGAAAGCUAGGGUAGCGAACGGG